UUUGAUCCAUCAUCAAUCUCGUGAUUAGUAUUCACUUUCCUUUCAAUUAAUUUGUCCUCAAGCAAAAGAAACAAACCCUAGACCGUAAAUCUGAAGAUCAAUUUCUGGCUUUGGAGAGCAUCCGAGAUCGAAAUUUAUCUAAUUGCGCAAGCUGCUGGUGUAGAUUCUUGUUUAAUUUGGCGAAUAAGUUUAGUGAUAUUUGUUGAAGAAAAUUGCUUACAAUGAGAUUCAAAAAAGGAGAUAAAGUGGAGGUUAUGAACAAUAAGGGAGUGCCAUAUUUGUGGCAUCCUGCAGAAAUACUCUUCGGUACAGGGCAUACAUACCAUGUCCGAUAUGAUUGUUAUCCUGCUGUGGGAAUUGACCGAUUGGUGGAUAUAGUCUCAAGGAAGCUUGUUAGGCCAUUGCCUCCUCUAGUGCAGCUAGAUCUUGAGAGUUACAAUGCUGAAGACAUUGUGGAGGCGUUUUACAAGAAUUCAUGGACGGUUGCUGUUAUCGUAAAGAUUUUGGGAGGCAAACAAGAAAAGAAAAGGAAGACUGCAAGCCUAAAAAAUCGAUAUUUACUACGGCUGCUUGGGUAUUCUCAGGAAGUAGUUGUUGAUAGGUUGAACAUCAGGAUGAGACAAACCUGGGAUGGUGGCAGAUGGUUUCUAGUGGGAAAGAUAUCCCAUGUGGGCAAUGAUUUGAUGUCUAGGAACCAAUCAACUUCCAGUGGUUGUAGAAAGAUGAAAUUUCAGGUGCCUCAAAUCAAUUCAACGGCUAACUUUGAACACGAAAAUGAUUGCAUGAAUGUCCAGGAUGGUGCUGCGUAUCAGAAUUCUCCUUUAGUCUCUGCAGCAUCUCGAAAGAGGGCUUCCCCCUAUGAUUCAUCCAUCAUUGAAGCAAACAAUGGACCAGCACAAAAAUUACGAGCAACUGUGAAAGAAGGCCAGAAGCAGCGAGUGGUUGCUGCACCUUACAUAGAAAAGGGGUACAGUUGGAGGCAUGCUCAUUUGCUUCCUAUGAUUGUGAGAUGAUGCCAGGGUUUGCUGCCUGUCUCUGGCAUUGAACUUUGGACGAUUCACUCGUCUACUUUCAAACUUAUGCUUCAGUAUAUGGCUGAUCCCUGGUAUCACACAAUUUCAUCUUACAAUGUGUGUGUGUGUGUGUUUGUAUAUAUAUCUAUGUAUGUAUUAAACCCUAAGCUGUUUAAAAUACUAUCAUGUCUUUUUCCGUAGGAUGUGCAACAAGAUAUACAUUGAUAUUUACCUGGUCAUUUCUCUUUCAAUAUUUUACAAUAACUCUCAUUCUUUAUUUUGUUUGGGUACCCAUGCUUAUUAUCAUUUACACAUUCCCAACUGUACAUAUAUUCGUAGUACAUUGCCAUUGGAUCGUAUUGACAUUUGAAUUGCUUUUGGGACUUUACAUGGGAAAUUGCUUUAGAAGCAUUCUCGACAUGUAUAUGUUGGAUUCAUUUCGUUUUACCUUUUGCUCGUAUGCUUUCAUGCUGUUUACUUGCUACAAGAAAACCUUAGCAUCUGCAUAUGAAGAUACCAUCGCCAAUAUGCUUCACGAGUUGGAAUUGUUGGCACUUGUUCAGGUUGGUGUGAAUGACUUAUUAUGUCCUUGGAGAACACUUUUGUGAUUGUGAUUUCUCUAUUCUUUCAGUUCAGUCAAAACUUGCUCGUAAUAUUCAAGGCUACUUACAGUUAUGUAUAAGGUUGGUUUUGUUUAUGUUAGUUAGAACAUUUUGUAACGGGAUUUGGAAUCGAGAAAAGUGAAGUUGAAAGAUCCGGCUUCCUGAAUAAGAAACCAUGCUCAAUUGUUUAUGAAAUUUAGUACUAGUAAACUUAUCCAUGUUAAUUAGCAUAGAGCUAAAUUCUCGAGAAUCUGUUUACAUAUGUUUUGGAAUUUUGGGAGCUUUUAGGAAUAAUAAAAAGUUGAGGGAAAAUAAUUGUUUCAUGUGAUGUAAAUAGUGCUGGAUACGAUGUUUUGAAUAAAGAAUCUUUGACAUUAUAUCUCAAUAACGAGUUUUUAAAUAAGAUCUUCUUUUAGAGGCAGAAAUUUUGAUGAAUAGCCCUAAAACAAAGUUAAAAAUAUAAAUAUUGUGAGGUAUUGAGAACUGUGAAAGUAUUACAGCGACGAUAUUUUUUAUAUUUUUGUUUGACUUUUAUUGUUACGUAUUAUUUUUGGGAUAAUAUUUUUGGAGAAUCAUGUAAGUAUUAAACACUCAUUAUCCUGCAAUAGUUAUAUUACAUCGUGCUGUUUAUAAAGUUAUUCAAUAAUGAUAUAUGCUCCCUUUUUCAUCAUCUCUUGGUGCAGAAAGCAAUGAAACUCAUCUUACUAGUGGACCUAAAAGGAAUUCGUCGUACAUGACACAAUGGGAAAAUGGGUAUCCUUUAUUUCAAGAGUUCGAUUAGCGCAAUAUCAAUUGAAUUAUAAAGUAUAUUACCACUAAAACGCGCCAAGAGCAUUGCCUUUCCUCUACAUGGUCCGGAAACUCGCAAGCUUUCCUCCAUGUAAAGUGUUCCUAUUGCGCCGCAACAACAACAACAACGGCAAUUCAUUGUUUAACCGAUUUCACGGGUAAG